rnacentral:rRNA from 1 species
UACGUAGGGGGCAAGCGUUGUCCGGAAUCAUUGGGCGUAAAGAGCGUGUAGGCGGCUCGGUAAGUCCGCUGUGAAAGUCCAGGGCUCAACCCUGAAAUGCCGGUGGAAACUGUCGAGCUAGAGUACGGAAGAGGCGAGUGGAAUUCCUGGUGUAGCGGUGAAAUGCGCAGAUAUCAGGAGGAACACCAAUGGCGAAGGCAGCUCGCUGGGACGUUACUGACGCUGAGACGCGAAAGCGUGGGGAGCAAACAGG